ACGGCGUUGGGCCAACAAAUUUGUUUGACGCGAUUAAUUGAUCCCAUAAUAUCUCACAUGUCAUCUGUACAGUAUUAGUAGAGAUGAUGACAAAAAUGAGAUUUGCAUACCUAAAGUGCGAUAUUGGAAAGAGCGUUUGUAAAAUAGCCACUGCCUUAGAUUGAUUUGCUUAGAUGGUCAUUUCUUUUUCUUUCUUUCCUUCCUUCUUUCUUUCUUUCUUUGUUGUUAGUUAAACUACUAUAACAUCAUUGUUCCUUCAAUGUGCUAAAAUAGUUCCACACUUGAAAAUGGAUUUUUUAUUUUGUUAUUUAUUUCAAUGUUCUGGUGAAGUGUAAUUGCUUCAGACAUGUAUAUUAUUUUAUUUUUAACUAAUAUCCGCAAUCCAGGGUCAGGAAAAAAUGUCAUUGAUUGCCUGUUGAGCUUGCUACAUAGAGAACUAGAGGAAGAGAUGAUUUGCGUGAUUAUAGCAAUUAUUACUGGUGAGAGCAGUCUUUUGAGGAAGGCUGUAUUUGAUGUUGGUUUCAUAAAACCUCUGCACAAGUCGGUUCAAGAGAAGCAUGGGUAUCGCUGUUGCAAUUACAAAUGCUAUUGAUGAUACUGUUUAUGAUGAACAACAGAUGGAGUGCUUGGUGGAGUUCUGCAAAAAAGCCAAAUGAUGGUGGCAAUAAUGUUUAUGCUCAGAAGAAAAGAGAUUUGGAAGUGGGAAAAAGUUAAAGUGGUUAGUACUUUGAAACGGGUUGAGGUAAUAGUGAAGUCAUACUGGGCUCAAAGUGAUGGCACAUGAAGCUGAAAUGGUUUCCAGUAACCUUUUCCUUGACAUACUUACCAUCUUCAUAUGAUAAGAGGGCGGAAAAUGGAAAGAGACAAAUUUAGACAAAUCUAUCCAUUACUAUAUUCAUAUAUUUCUAUUUCAACUAUUUUAUAGUAAAUAAGGAACAGCCAAAACAUGUUUAC